rnacentral:rRNA from 1 species
UACGCAGGGCGCAAGCGUUGUCCGGAAUUAUUGGGCGUAAAGAGCUCGUAGGUGGUUCGGUAAGUCGGAUGUGAAAUCUCCAGGCUCAACCUGGAGGGGUCAUUCGAUACUGCCGUGACUAGAGGUCGGUAGGGGAGUGUGGAAUUCCUGGUGGAGCGGUGAAAUGCGCAGAUAUCAGGAGGAACACCCGUAGCGAAGGCGGCACUCUGGGCCGAUACUGACACUGAGGAGCGAAAGCGUGGGGAGCGAAUGGG